ensembl:snRNA U5 U5 spliceosomal RNA
ACACUCUGGUUUCUCUUCAGCUCAUAUAAAUCUUUCACUUUUUACUAAAGAUUACCAUGGACAGGAACAGGUAUGGGUCUUUAACCAAUUUUUUGAUGACCGGGCUUUCUUUCCAGAA